GCGACCUCAGGCUGGGCG
rnacentral:rRNA from 2 species